rnacentral:rRNA from 1 species
UACAGAGGGGGCAAGCGUUAUUCGGAAUUAUUGGGCGUAAAGGGCGCGUAGGCGGCUUUGCAAGUGACGGGUGAAAUCCCUCGGCUUAACCGAGGAACUGCCUGUCAGACUGUGAGGCUUGAGACCGGGAGAGGUGAGUGGAAUUCCCAGUGUAGCGGUGAAAUGCGUAGAUAUUGGGAGGAACACCAGUGGCGAAGGCGGCUCACUGGACCGGUACUGACGCUGAGGCGCGAAAGCGUGGGGAGCAAACAGG